GCCAGAAGUGAUAUGCUUGUCUCAAAGAUUAAGCCAUGCAUGUACAAGUUCACACCUUCAUAUGGUGAAACCGCGAAUGGCUCAUUAAAUCAGCUAUGGUUCCUUAGAUCUUACAUCCUUACUUGGAUAACUGUAGUAAUUCUAGAGCUAAUACAUGCCACUAAGCCCUGACUUUAUAUCGGGGUGGAUUUAUUAGAACAAAACCAACCGACUUCGGUCGUUGGCUUGAUGACUCUGGAUAACUUUUCUGAUCGCAUGGCCCAGAGCCAGCGACGUAUCUUUCAAUUGUCUGCCCUAUCAACUAUCGAUGGUAGGUGAUAUGCCUACCAUGGUUAUGACGGGUAACGGGGAAUCAGGGUUCGAUUCCGGAGAGGGAGCCUUAGAAAUGGCUACCACAUCUAAGGAAGGCAGCAGGCGCGCAAAUUACCCACUCUCAGCUCGAGGAGGUAGUGACGAAAAAUAACGAUGCGGGACUCGUAUUGAGGCUCCGCAAUUGGAAUGAGUACAAUUCAAAUCCUUUAACGAGGAACAAUUGGAGGGCAAGUCUGGUGCCAGCAGCCGCGGUAACUCCAGCUCCAAUAGCGUAUAUUUAAGUUGCUGCAGUUAAAAAGCUCGUAGUCGGAUCUCAGGUAUUGAACUUGUGGUUGGAUUAUUCCGUACCAUAAGCUUCUGCCUAAUCAGUCGCAUGUUGUCUUGUGUGCACUUCACUGUGUGCAUGAGGCACUCGAUACGUUUACUUUGAAAAAAUUAGAGUGCUCAAAGCAGGCCUUGUGCUUGAAUAUAUGUUGCAUGGAAUAAUGGAAUAGGACUUCGGUUCUAUUUUGUUGGUUUUCGGAAUCGAAGUAAUGAUUAAAAGAGACAGUCGGGGGCACUUGUAUGGUGGUGUUAGAGGUGAAAUUCGAUUAUCGCCGCCAGACAAACAACUGCGAAAGCAUUUGCCAAGAAUGUUUUCAUUGAUCAAGAACGAAAGUCAGAGGUUCGAAGACGAUCAGAUACCGUCCUAGUUCUGACCAUAAACGAUGCCAACUGACAAUCAGGGUUUCAUUUUUUUUCACCCUGGCAGUCCCUGGGAAACCUUUAAGUCUAUCGGUUCUGGGGGGAGUAUGGUUGCAAAUCCGAAACUUAAAGGAAUUGACGGAAGGGCACCACCAGGUGUGGAGCCUGCGGCUUAAUUUGACGCAACACGGGAAAACUCACCCGGCCCGGACACUGUAAGGAUUGACAGAUUGAGAGAG
rnacentral:rRNA from 1 species